AGUUCCUAUAAGCACGUGCUCUCAGUUGAAGCAAAAGUAACUAAUUUUAAAUUUUCUGUCACAACAUCGAUACUGAUCAAUACUGCUCGAUACAAUUACUAUACAUAAAGAAUGGUAUAGAUCUGCGAUGUCUCUUUUUGUUUCUUGAACGUUGUUUAUUUAUAAAAUUGCACAGUUACAUAUUUGGUAUUCUUAGUCUAAUAUAAACAAAGAAAACGAGAAAAAGAGAUUAUACAGACUGUUACAGACACCUGUUACGUGGUAAAUUACAGAUUUAUAUCUUGUAAAAUAUUUUAAUAAACGCUAUAUAAAUAAAAAGAAUAUGUAUUUUAUGCAAAAAGGAGGAUAUUCCACUUGAUUGUUUUCGUAGUUUUCACAAGUAAGUUUUCAAAACUACCAACUACUACAGUAAUUGAAUAUAAGUUUAUUUAAUGUAUAACAAUAUUAUUAAUUAUUAUUAAUUAUUAGUAUAAAUGUAAUGUAUAACAAUAUUGUUUAUUUUCAUAUUUCACUGCUAAACAGGAUCUAUAGACCCUCAACAGGUGCCCGAUGAGCACCCCACCCCACUCCUGUAGGAGGACGGGAUAGUCCCAAAACAAUCCCCAACAAGUCCCAAAAUAGGAGUAUUUUUAAAAGACUUUUAUAGAUAACCCAACUACUUCUAAGCCUGUAUAUGUAUUUUUUUAUCCGUGUCAUAUAUGGUAAAGUUAGUUUAUAAUUAUUUUGAAUUAAAAGGACCCAUUAUUUUAUUUGUAAAGAGUUUGCAUGAUAAGCAAAAGCAUGAGUGCUUACAUUGGGUCUGUAAAAAAAUAUCAAAGUGGAUGGUAAGAGGAAUAAUUCUACUAACAUCAACUUUCUCUGCUGUUUAAUUCACUAGAGCUUAUUGGUUUGGAUUACAGGUGACUUCAUUAACAAUAAAAGGAGUAAAGGUGGAAGUACACUUGUGGAAUUAUUUUGUUUUUGGUAAAUUCAUCAGUUUCUUCUUUGGUAGAUCGGAGAAUUGAUCCAAUUGCCAGCUGGACCGUAGUUGCACACUAGGUAGUAGUUACUCCCUUCACCAUUCUGGUAGAUGAUCUUACC